rnacentral:lncRNA from 1 species
GUAGGCAGCCUCUUUUUACUCUUUUCUCCAACCUCCCUCCCUAUUCCUCAACCUCUUUCUCCUUUCAUUCUUGGUGCCACACUUCAAUCUCUUCCUUCUCUUAAUUUCAAUUCCCUUCAUUUUCUGGUAGAGACAAAGGAGACACAUUUUAUCCGUGGACCCAAAACUCCAGCACCGGUCACGGACUGGGAAGGCAGCCUUCCCUUGGUGUUUAAUCAUUUCAGGGACGCCUCUCUGAUUAUUCACCCACGUUUCAAAGGUGUCAGACCACACAAGGAGGCCUGCCUUGGUCCUUCAGCCUUAGCGGCAAGUCCCGCUUUUCUGGGGGAGGGACAAGUACUCCAACCCCUUCUCUCUGUGUCUCUACCCCUUCUCUGAUCUUCUGGGGCAGGGGCAAGAACCCCUCAACCCCUUCUCCUUCACCGUUAGCGGCAAGUCCCGCUUUUCUAGGGGGCAAGAACCCCCAAUCCCUUAUUUCCGUGCCCCAACCCUUUCUCUGCUUUUCUGGAGGGCAAGAAAUCCCCACCCCUUCUCCGUGUCUCUACUCUUUUCUCUGGGCUUGCCUCCUUCACUAUGGGAAACCUUCCACCCUCCAUUCCUCCUCCUUCUCCCUUAGCCUGUAUUCUUAAGAACUUAAAACCUCUUCAACUCACACCUGACCUAAAAUCUAAGCAUCUUAUUUUCUUCUGCAAUGCUGCUUGACCCCAAUACAAACUCGACAGUAGUUCCAAAUAGCCAAAAAACGGCACUUUCAAUGUUUCCAUCCUACAAGAUCUAAAUAAUUCUUGUCGUAAAAUAGGCAAAUGAUCUGAGGUGCCUGACGUCCAGGCAUUCUUUUACACAUCAGUACCUUCCUAGUCUCUGUGCCCAGUGCAACUCGUCCCAAGUCUUCCUUCUUUCCCUCCCACCUGUCCCCUCAGUCCCAAUCCCAAGCGUCGCUGAGUCUUUCUAAUCUUCCUUUUCUACAGACCCAUCUGACCUCUCGCCUCCUCGCCAGGCCAAGCUAGUUCCCAAUUCUUCCUCAGCCUCCGCUCCUCCACCCUAUAAUCUUUUUAUCGCCUCCCCUCCUCACACCUGGUCUGGCUUACAGUUUCGUUCUGUGACUAGCCCUCCACCACCUGCCCAGCAAUUUACUCUUAAAAAGGUUGCUGGAGCCAAAGGCAUAGUCAAGAUUAAUGCUCCUUUUUCUUUAUCCCAAAUCAGAAGUGUUUAGGCUCUUUUUCAUCAAAUAUAAAAACCCAGCCCAGUUCAUGGCUUGUUCGGCAGCAACCCUGAGACACUUUACAGCCCUAGACCAUAAGAGGUCGAAAGGCCAUCUUAUUCUCAAUAUACAUUUUAUUACCCAAUCUGCUCCCCACAUUAAACUCCAAAAAUUGGAAUCUGGCCCUCAAACCCCACAACAGGACUUAAUUAACCUCACCUUCAAGGUGUACAAUAAUAAAAAAAAAGUUGCAAUUCCUUGCCUCCACUGAGAGACAAACCCCAGCCACAUCUCCAGCACACAAGAACUUCCAAACGCCUGAACCGCAGCAGCCAGGCAUUCCUCCAGAACCUCCUCCCCCAGGAGCUUGCUACACAUGCCGGAAAUCUGGCCACUGGGCCAAGGAAUGCCCACAGCCCGGGAUUCCUCCUAAGCCACGUCCCAUCUGUGUGGGACCCCGUUGAAAAUCGGAUUGUUCAACUCACCUGGCAGCCACUCCCAAAGCCCCUGGAACUCUGGCCCAAGGCUCUCUGACUGACUCCUUCCCAGAUCUUCUCCACUGAAUGGCUGAAGACUGAUGCUGCCCGAUCGCCUUGGAAGCCCCAUAGACCAUCACGGACGCUGAGCUUAGCAGUUAAACCCAUAAACCAUACCCAGAAUAUUUUAUCAACAAGGCAUCCUGAAUAAUUCAUACUGGAUAAUAAAAGGUAUCUCAACCUUCAAUGUCUUGCUGGAGUGCAGUGGCUAUUCACAGGUCCAAUCAUCGCACAGCCUCAAACUCCUGGGCUCAAUUUGUCCUCCUGCUUCAGUUCCCUGAGUAGUUGAGACUACAGGCACACGCCAUUUCUUGAAGUGGAAUGGGUGUGCUCUAGCAAAACAGAGACUGCGAUCUUCAACGUCUUCUGUCCUUCGGCUCCAGCAAAGUCUCCCCUCAUGUGCUGCCUCCUUCUCUGCUCUUCUUGAUUCAAUCAAGGACCCAGAUUGCUUUCUGCCUUGCCAGUCAAAAGUCCUCAACAAGUGGCCAUAUGAGCCUACCUUCCACAAAUCCACAAAUAUUAUUGAUAUAGUUUGAAUGUCCCCUCCAAAUCUCAUGUUGAGAUGUAAUCCCCAGUGUUGGAUGUGGGGCCUGGUGGGACGUGUUUUGGUCAUGGGGGCAGAUUUCUUAUAAAUGGUUUUGAAUCAUACCCUUGGUGCUGUCCUUGUGAUAGUGAGUAAGUGCUCAUGAGAUCUGGUUGUUUAAAAGGGUGUGGCGGGAGGGGAACAUCACACACUGGGGCCUGUCAGGGGGUGAGGGGGCUAUGGGAGGGAUAGCAUUAGGAGAAAUACCUAAUGUAGAUGACGGGUUGAUGGGUGCAGCAAACCACCACGGCACGUGUAUACCUAUGUAACAAACCUGCACUUUCUGCACAUGUACCCCAGAACUUAAAGUAUAAUUUUAAAAAAGUGUGUGGCAUCUUCCCCGUCACUCUCUCUUGCUCCUGCUCUAGCCAUGUGACUGCUCCUGCUUCACCAUCCAGCACAAGUAAAAACUUCCCGAGGCCUCCCCAGAAACUGAGCAGAUGCCAAUGCCAUGCUUCCUGUAUAUCCUGCAGAACCAUGACCCAAUUAAACCCCUUUUCUUCAUGAAUCACCCAGGCUCAGCUAUUUCUUCAUAGCAAUGCAAGAACGGCUUAAUACAAUCACCCCACUUUCAUUUCAUGUGUAUAUAAACACACACACACACACACACACACUGCAUCUUAUUUAACAAUGAGGCUUUUUUCAACUAUCUGUAACAAUGUACAAAAUAUGAAAAAUAUGUUUCCUAAGGUGGCAUUAAUCCCAAAAUGAUAAACUAUAGAAUAUUAAUCCCAGUAAAUUCCUUGGUGUGGAGGUGUGGAAACAGAGGGUGGGGAUGAAGCAACUUUCUUUAAAAGUUUUGGAAGUGUACAAUCACAAUAUAUAAUAGCAUAUAUCAAGAGUCCUGUAUGUUUCAUAAAUAAAUAUGUUUAAACUUGUAAAUCUAAUAUAUCCUAAAAGGACUCAUCCAUAAAUUUAUUUUUGUCAUCUAACACUACUAAGAUCCUUAUAAGAAAAAGUUACACGUGUACUCUUGCUUCAGUUAUAUAAAAUUGUUGCCUUUGACUUCAUGUGUUAUACCAUUUACUAUAUCCCGCAGCGCAUCUGAACUAAUUCACAGAGGACCUGGUUGGAGGCCUGGAGAAAAUCGGCAGUCUCACAUGUAAACUUCCAGUUUAUUGGGAUGAGCUAAAAGAGUGUAUUCUCGACAAAGUCUAGCAGGCUCAGCAAUGUGGGUUGCGUGUGGCUUCUCAGGACUCCUAGGUCCUCCUGGGCACACAUGCUUUGCUGGUGGCAAUGGCACUCCUCCUGUCCAAGGAGUUCUGCCACAUCCCCCUCCCGAGAAGGAGCUUGCCUUGCUUCUUUCAACCAUGUCACUUGGAACUCCAGCCUUUAGCAAGCCAUAGCAACUGGGAUCAAAGGAUUUAGAUAUCAGGUAAUAUUUAAGACGUAGAAGCAGAAGACAAUGCUACAAUGUAGGACAAUAAAAAUACUAUUUCAAAUGUGUCAUCUCUAUACUGGCCCCAAAAGAGGAAUGGUACGUUUAACGGAAGAGAAUUAUAUUACAAAUCAUGCUUAAAUAAUAAAAGCCAUCAUUUAAGAAAGAGUCUCCUCCAGAACUGUACUUAAAAUAAUUUAUUUGGGAUGCAAAAGUACUUUCAAUUGUCUCUAUUCAUCUUUACGGUCCUACCUUCAAGAGCUAGUUACAAAUCUCAUUCUGCAUUUUGUCAGCUACUUGAACCCAGCUCUCUCAUUUAUGAACUUGAACUUCAAUUCUAUAUUGUCAGAAUAGUGCAUUAUUACAGUGUUAGGAGUGUAUGUCUAUUUUAAUGGAAACUAUAUUUAUGAUUUCAAAUGAAAU